GUGCAGCAGGCGCGAAUACUUUACAAUGUGCGAAAGCACGAUAAGGGAACUCUGAGUGCCUCCUAAGGAGGCUGUUCAGGUGUCUAAAAGCACCUGAAGGAAGGGCUGGGUAAGACCGGUGCCAGCCGCCGCGGUAACACCGGCAGCCCAAGUGGUAGCCACGUUUAUUGGGUCUAAAGCGUCCGUAGCCGGCUGGGUAAGUUCCUUGGGAAAUUUGGCUGCUUAACAGUCAAGCUUUCAGGGAAUACUGCCCGGCUUGGGGACCGGGAGAGGUCAGAGGUACUCCGAGGGGGUAGGGGUGAAAUCCAUUAAUCCGUUGGGGGACCACCGGUAGCGAAGGCGUCUGACCAGACCGGGUCCGACGGUGAGGGACGAAGGCUAGGGGCGCGAACCGGAUUAGACUACCCC
rnacentral:rRNA from 1 species